UACGGAGGGUGCGAGCGUUGUCCGGAAUCACUGGGCGUAAAGGGCGCGUAGGUGGCGCGACAAGUCAACGGUGAAAGCUCGGCGCUCAACGCCGAGUCGGCCGUCGAUACUGUUGGGCUUGAGCACUGUAGAGGCUAAUGGAAUUCCGGGUGUAGCGGUGGAAUGCGUAGAGAUCCGGAAGACACCGGUGGCGAGGCGGUUAGCUGGGCAGUAGCUGACACUGAGGCGCGCAGCGUGGGG
rnacentral:rRNA from 1 species